GACUGGAGACGUUUCCAGCAGAUAUUGUAUGACCAGGGGAUGAAAUUAAGCUGGAUCUACACUAUGAGCUUCCUGAUUCUCGUCCACUUUCUACUAAUUCCUGUCAUUACUCAGUUGUUUACUAUAGAGAUGAGUAAUAUUUCUGAGGAGAUGCAGAAAGUGAUGAAGGACACCCAAAGAAAGAAGCUUCAAGACUUUCAGGAGCACCUUGAUCAAGAGACAAUGAUUAUAGAGCUGCUUCAGGAACAGAGGGACAGAGACUUGGAAAGAGCUAUGAAGCAGAUUGAACAGACUUUAAGUCAUGAUAAAACUACAGUGACGGAAAGCCAAUGCAGUAGUGCAUCUUUCAUCAGAGCACAUCUGACAGUGCAAACAAACCAUGA